rnacentral:rRNA from 1 species
GACGAACGCUGGCGGCGUGCUUAACACAUGCAAGUCGAACGGAAAGGCCCUGCUUUUGUUGGGUGCUCGAGUGGCGAACGGGUGAGUAACACGUGAGUAACCUGCCCUUUACUUUGGGAUAACUUCAGGAAACUUGGUCUAAUACCUGAUAGGAUCUCCUGCUGCAUGGUGUGGUUUGGUAAGUUUCGGCGGUUGGGGAUGGACUCGCGGCUUAUCAGCUUGUUUGUGGGGUAGUGGCUUACCAAGGCUUUGACGGGUAGCCGGCCUGAGAGGGUGACCGGCGAAAUUGGGACUGAGAGACGGAACAGAAUGCAAAGGGAGGCAGCAGGGGGGAAUAUUGCAGAAUGGGAGGAAGGGUGAUGCAGAAAAGCAGCGAGCGGGAUGAAGGCGUUCGGGUUGUAAACCGAUUUAGAAUGUGAAGAAGAGUGAGUGACGGUAAUGGGUAAAGAAGCAACGGCUAACUACGUG